rfam:Triticum aestivum genome assembly, contig: Triticum_aestivum_CS42_TGACv1_scaffold_201851_3AL
UGUGUACUCCCUCCGUUCCAAAACACUUGACUUCCAUUUGUCCAAAAAUGGAUGUACCUAUAUACUAAACAUGUCUAGACACAUAUAUAUUUUGACAAAUAGAAGGCAUGUAUUGUGCAACGGAGGGAGUAGAAU